rnacentral:misc_RNA from 1 species
CUGCUGCUCCCUGCGCUGAAUCGGAUCGGAGGGAAGCUCGGCGUGUGCUGCUGGAGAUGGUCGGCUGGAGCAGAGGGACCUGCGCCCAUGGAGCAGGGAGGGGCGCCGAGGGAGGUGCCUGCUGCUCGCCAGAAGGGGGCGCCGGCCAUGGAGAGGAAAGGAGCCGUGCUCCCUGUUGCUGGCGUGGGGAAUCCAGGGAGGAAGAUGGCGCCUGCUGCUGCGCGAGGGAAGCCGGGGAGGAGGGCGCCAUGGGGAGCUGCUGCGUCGCCAGGACAUGGACCUCACCGAGGUCGAUCCAAGAAGCUCCAGCGCGCAAGGGAGAAAGGCUCCCUGCUGCAGCCGCUCUCCAGGAGGAGCAGGGAGGACGCUUGA